UCGUGCUUUUGGAUUUUGUACGUUUUUACUCAGCAACCCAUUCCCUUCAAGUGAAGUGGCAUACUUGUAGUGUUCACACGUAACUGCUGUCCUCAAAAUAAGAAGGCAGACGCGUGGC